AAGCUGAUAGAUGGGCAGGGGGCAGGCGAGAGUGAAUGCACGUUUAACUGACAUGAAUGCAAGCCACGUGACAACAGCAAUGGCGUACACAAGAAGGCGCCACAACGACCAUGAGGACAGCAGAAUCUAUAAACAACGGUUAUGUGUUCUCAAAUAACUUGACAUCCGACGGAUUUUCUUUCCUGAGUUUACUGCUUACUUGUGAAAAAAGGAUGGAAGCUGCAGUAAGUGAUUUCAAACAUUAAUUUGGCGAUAACCAUUGCCAGCGCAAGAAUUAACCCGGUGUAGACCAAUCGUUCUACCCCACCCGACACGACCGACUACCGCCUAUUGCAAAAACAUCCUGAGCUAUGAUUGCAAGAGGAAUAUAUACGCUCGAACACACAUCACUAUCCAUCCGGCCUGGUCAGCGAGGGAUAGAACGGGAUUGUUGCUUGGAUGGCAUCUGCUUCGAGUGGGUGUUUCAUAAAACUGUUCGUAAGUUAAGAGCGACUUUAAGAAAGACUGGUGAAAUACUUUUACGCAUUUACCACAAGAAAGGAUCACCAGACGUUCUUAUAAAGUCACUCUUAUCUUGCGAACAGCUUUAUGAAACGACCCCAGGAUUCAUCAGUAGGUGAUGACGUUCAGGUGGAUAAGAGAAUGUUUCUUGGAUGACAUCAGUAGGUGAUGGAUGGGUGAAAGUCUUUGGGUUUUUGUUUAGUAAAGGCCCCCCCCCCGGGGGGAGUGGAUACCAUGCGCGACCAUUGGGUCUCGAAAAGCACCCUAAACACGUAAUUUCCAUAUUCUGAAAAUGCACCCCUUAACAAGUAUUGACGAGUGAACCCCUACCCUUAACACGUAUU